ACUCCUACGGGAGGCAGCAGUGGGGAAUAUUGGACAAUGGGCGAAAGACCUGAUCCAGCAAUGCCGCGUGAGUGAUGAAGGCCUUAGGUUGUAAAGCUCUUUUACCCGGGAUGAUAAUGACAGUACCGGGAGAAUAAGCUCCGGCUAACUCCGUGCCAGCAGCCGCGGUAAUACGGAGGGAGCUAGCGUUAUUCGGAAUUACUGGGCGUAAAGCGCACGUAGGCGGCUUUGUAAGUUAGAGGUGAAAGCCUGGAGCUCAACUCCAGAAUUGCCUUUAAGACUGCAUCGCUUGAAUCCAGGAGAGGUGAGUGGAAUUCCGAGUGUAGAGGUGAAAUUCGUAGAUAUUCGGAAGAACACCAGUGGCGAAGGCGGCUCACUGGACUGGUAUUGACGCUGAGGUGCGAAAGCGUGGGGAGCAAACAGGAUUAGAUACCCCUGGUAGGAUAGCG
rnacentral:rRNA from 1 species